UACAGAGGGUGCAAGCGUUAAUCGGAAUUACUGGGCGUAAAGGGCGCGUAGGUGGUUGCGUAAGUGAAAUGUGAAAUCCCCGGGCUUAACCUGGGAACUGCAUUUUAGACUGCGUAACUGGAGUGCAAUAGAGGGUAGUGGAAUUUCCGGUGUAGCGGUGAAAUGCGUAGAUAUCGGAAGGAACACCAGUGGCGAAGGCGGCUACCUGGAUUGACACUGACACUGAGGCGCGAGAGCGUGGGGAGCAAACAGG
rnacentral:rRNA from 1 species